CAAAACCCAGACAGAAACAAACGUCCAACAAACUCCCAGUCCAGGAGCGCUGCAAAACCAACGCCAGUCUAGUUUGGGGUCUCUAUAAUCCUGCUCCUUUGGCUGCCAGCCAUCUCCAUAAAAAAAGAAUUUGAAAGGCUUCCAUUCUUUCAGAGACCUGUUUCCCGGGACUGGCUGCAAGGGAGAGAUGCACUGACCCUCUGCCAGGUAUAGAACUAUUGAAUGGCAGAGUUUGAGAUCUUAGAAACCAUCAAGACUGAUGAUUUUCUAGCUACUUUCUACAUAGGAAUCCUAGAGUUCCUUGGAGAGGAUAUGAAGUUUAUUCUCAGGCCAUGCAGAUGGACAAGAAAGGAUGUGCCUCCAUCGUUCCUCUUCAAAUUCAACCAAAACAGCCUUGCUUCCGUUGGCUUUAUACAAUACUGCAACUCUUGAUAAUUAAUCUGAUUUAACACAAAUUUCCUCAUUGAGUUUCUCCUCAUGAAGAAACGGCCUCAGUGAGGUAAAUCGGAAUGCACAGGAACACGUAGCAGGUUAGUGCAGACCAGAAAUCAAACCCAGACUUUCUGACUGCUCAAUAGACCACAUUCCACCAUGUUACCAUGGAAACUUUAAAACAGAUGAAAGUAAAAACAAACAAACAACAACUUAAAAAAACAAAAACAAAAAAUCCCAGAGCCUCUCUAGGAAAUACCAACGUGCUUACCAAGGGGGUUUCUCUCACUUCAUAAGAGCAGUAAACACUAAACCAAGGGAAUGUGAAUUUAGAGUUUAGAAAAGAUAACCAGAGAUUUGGCCAGGCGGGGGACUCAUGCCUGUAAUCCCAGCACUUUGGGAGGCUGAGGCUGGUGGGUUGCCUUAGGUCAGGAGUUUGAGACCAGCCUGGCCAACAUAGUGAAACCCUGUCUCUACUAAAAAUACAAAAAUUAGCUGGGUGUGGUGGCGUGCACCUGUAAUCCCAG
rnacentral:antisense_RNA from 1 species